AGAGUUUGAUCCUGGCUCAGAACGAACGCUGGCGGCAUGCUUAACACAUGCAAGUCGAACGCUUGUAGCAAUACAAGAGUGGCAGACGGGUGAGUAACGCGUGGGAACGUACCCUAAAGUUCGGAACAACAGUUGGAAACGACUGCUAAUACCGGAUAAGCUCGAGAGAGGAAAGGUUUACCGCUUUGGGAGCGGCCCGC
rnacentral:rRNA from 1 species